CCCCUGCUCCUUGCACACACCGCCCGUCAAACCAUGCGAGUGGGGUCUGAGUGAAGGCACGUUUUUUGGCGUGUUUGAACUUAGGCUCUGCAAGCGGGGUU
rnacentral:rRNA from 1 species